rnacentral:rRNA from 1 species
AUUGAACGCUGGCGGCAGGCCUAACACAUGCAAGUCGAGCGGAGCGGCGGACGGGUGCGUAAUGCCUAGGACUCUGCCUGGUCGUGGGGGAUAACGUCCGGAAACGGGCGCUAAUACCGCAUCCUAUCAGAUGAGCCUAGGCCGGAUUAGCUGGUGGGGGGGGUAAAGGCCUACCAAGCCGACGCCCCGUAACGGGUCUGAGAGGAUGAUCAGUCACACUGGAACUGAGACACGGUCCAGACUCCUACGGUAGGCAGCAGUGGGGAAUAUUGGACAAUGGGCGAAAGCCUGAUCCAGCCAUGCCGCGUGUGUGAAGAAGGUCUUCGGAUUGUAAAGUACUUUCAGUUGGGAGGCGUUACCAGCAGAAUAAGCACCGGCUAACUUCGUGCCAGCAGCCGCGGUAAUUC